rnacentral:tRNA from 1 species
GCCGUCGUAGCUCAACCCGGCAGAGCAGCUGAAUCGUAAUCAGAAGGUUGAAGGUUCAAUUCCUUUCGACGGCACCA